rnacentral:lncRNA from 1 species
GCCCGCCCUCGUCGCCGGAAGUGUCCGCAUCGGGGGCCAAGCGAGCUCUGGGCUCUUCCCAGGUCGUCGUUAGCGUCGGUGACCCGAAGGGAGUCCCGCCCUGUCCGGGAAGCUGGCAUCUAGGACGAGUAGGGCUGUCCGGGCGGAGCGGCCCGAGCCCUCCUGGAAUCAAGUUCCGUACAGCAAUAUGGCUGCGUCCUGGAAGUAGAAAGCGCGGGUUUGUCUCCGAUAGGAUGGAGGCCAGGACCCAAGCCUAUGAGGCGGCGUGAGGUUCCUGACGUUAGGAGAGGCUGUCGAGUGUGGCGGUGGACGAGCCUGAGGGAUAUUUAACAUCAGGCUUCCUCAAGUGCUCUGGAUUCCCGCCGCCCAGCCUCGGAACAACAAGCAGGCGUUACUAGUUCCCGGAUGGUGGUGGCCUGUCCCUGGGCUAAAGUGUAGAUUCCUGGCUCUCGGCAUUAUUGUGCCGUUAGCUAGUUUUGAGCUAAGCAGUCCUUUUUUGAGUUUGAGGUUCCCUAGCGGUCACAGUGACUCCUCACUUUACGUCUCUACUGGGAAACCAAAAUCUCAGAAACGUAAAAGAUGUGUUGCUUUCAAUCAAGGUGAAUUGGAUGCCAUGGAGUAUCAUACAAAGAUCAGAGAGCUGAUUUUGGAUGGAUCUUCCCAGUUAAUCCAAGAAGGUCUCAGAAGUGGUUUCCUUUACCCACUUGUUGAAAAACAGCAUGGAAGUAGCAGACACAUAACUUUACCACUUGAUGCCUACAGUUUAACAGAGUUAUGUGAGAUGGCAAAACAUUUGCCUUCCUUAAAUGAAGUGGAGCUUCAAACACUACAGUUGAUUGGAGGUAGUAAGACAUUUGAUGCAAUUGUGAUUGAUGCAUCAUGGGAGAACAAAUCGGCUAAAAGAAGGAACAGAUCACAAAUUCAGGAGAGUUUGUGUUCCCAUUGGAUUCUCCUCACAAAAAGCCUUAUGAAUGUCUUAUACUGGAGAGAGUUAAAGAAAAAACUGCUUUAGCAUUAAGGAAUCUUGGGAAGCUAAAAUGCGGCAUAAUCAGAUGUAUUGUGAGACACCACCUACUGUCACUAUUCAUGUAAAAUCAGGCUCAAAUAGGUCACAUCAAACCAGAAAACCUAUUAGUCUGAAACGUCCUAUUCUUAAAGAUAGUUGGGAAGCAUCUGAAAACAAUGCUCAGAAUAACAAAUCUAAGCGGCCCAGAGGGCCUUGUCUAAUCAUACAGCGCCAGGAAAUGACUGCUUUCUUUAAAUUAUUUGGUAGGUGUAAAACAUUUUGUUAGUCUAGCAUUCUUAAAUAUCGAAAUGUAAAUC